CCAUCUGCAGUGAUUUUGGAGCCCAAACAAACAAAGUCUGACACUGUUUCUACUGUUUCCCCAUCUGUUUCCCAUGGACAAGACUGGGUUUAAACCCGUCUGACCCAGAGAGAGACUGUCUUGAUUUGACCUCUCCUACCUUCCCCACAUCCAGCAUCAUCAGGCUCUGACUCUUGAAUGAAGUGUGGAGUUUUUAACGACUGUCAUGUAAAAUGGAUGAGAGAAUCGAUCAGCUGAGAUGGACCCAAACACAAGAAGACAACACAUUCCUAACCAGUUUGGAAAAUUCCUCCAGCAGGAGGGAGGGAAACCCUGUCUUUCUUCAACAUUCCAACACCUUUUCCAUCAGCUCCUAACUCGGCUAACUUGGGUAAUUCUUGUCACAUCAUAUUAGAGUAAGCUGUGACUGAGGCUGUGCAAACAGAAAUACUGCCGACAAUUGUAAUUUUCUGUUUGAAAAGUGGCUGGAAUUUAGGCCAAACAUGAAACCCAAUAUCCUAAAGAACAGAACCAAGAUGUGGAGCAACACUGGUGUCCCUGGACCUCAUGUGCCCAGAGCCUGUGGGAUUAUCUACAGGUCCCCGUACAGGAGUUUUGGUUUCUCUUGGUUGGAACUAAGGUUUGCCCAGGUGCUAGGCAUAGUAGUCAUUACCCAACUUUAGACAGACCUUCCCUCCUCCUAUGGCAUUUGGAAGAAGCAGUAGGUAGGAUGGUAGCUAGCUUGACUAAGCAGAUGAGUUUCUCCUUCCCUUCUUUCCCCUACCCCUUUUCCUCUCUUUCUGUUUCAAGCAUCUUUUAUUUAGUUGGGCUCUGUCCUGGGCUUCAUGGAACAGAUUUUUUCCAUGACCACCCAGGCAAGGAAAAGAAGUAUAACCCAAAUCCUUCAGUUUGACUCCCACUCAUCCUUGCUGGGAAAGGUUUGGUGGACGAAGAUGAAUCUAUUAUUUGCUUCUGAGGUGAUAAUACAUUGUCUGUGCUCUACUUGUAUUUCGUACCAAGCUCCACACUAACCUUACCCUUGUCUAAACCAAUGUUGUCUAUUUCAGGAACUCUUCUAAAGUUUUUUUCUUUUUUUUUUUUUUACAUACAGUCCUUCCCUUAGUUCUCACAACAUCUUAUCAAAUAGGUACUCUUGUUUUCCCUGGAUGAAGAAACUAAGUUAGGGAGAAGUGGAGUCACCUGUCUGGGGUCCCCUGUAAGUGGCCUCACAGGUCAUGAACUGUUACACUCUCCUAGGUGUGCCUAGAAUUGAAGACACAAGAAAUCUUUUGCUUAUUGGAAGAGUUUUCUUUUGUCCCUAAAACUCAGUUCCUGUCCUUGAGGGUCUCUGGGGAAGUGAAAGAACGAUGACCUUGUACCUGACCUGGCACCUGGAAGGUUACUGAACACCUA
rnacentral:lncRNA from 1 species